UAUGUUAAGAUUAUGCUUAGUUUUGUAAGAAACCAACAAGCUGUCUUCCAAUGGGGCUGUACCAUUUUGCAUUCCCACCAGCAAUGAAUGAGACCUUGUGUAGUUGCACAUUCUCACUGGCUUUAUUUUGUAUUCUGUACUGUCAGUUCUUUGGAUUUUGAUAAUUCUAAUAGAGAUGUUAUUUUGGGCAAAAAGACUGGAGAUUUCACGGGAUCCAAGAGGUCUUUCUGAGGAGCAUUCUGUGAAAUCCCUGCAAAAGUUAUCCUAGCAAAAUUUCCCACACUAAUUAAAUAUGCCAAAGAUGGCUUCAAUGGAGAUUAACCUCUGAGUUUAAGGCUUAAGUAUCAUCAUCAUCAUCAUCAUCAUCAUCAUCAUCAU